rnacentral:tRNA from 1 species
GGGCGGUUAGCUCAGUUGGUUAGAGCGUUACCUUGACAUGGUAGAGGUCGGAAGUUCGAAUCUUCUACCGCCCACCA